CCUAGAGAAGUAAGAUUCAAAUUUUUAGGUGAGGCAAACAAAAUUCCAUAGAAGAUGCUAAAGAGAAUCCCACAGCAGCAAAAAGGUUAUAAAAAUGGCGUCGCCCGGACUCGAACCGGAGACCUUCAGUGUGUUAGACUGACGUGAUAACCAACUACACCACGACACCUUUAUGCUAAGGCUUUUUCAGAAUACAUAAUUAUCUAAUGUUUUAAAAAAUAACAGCCAGGAUAGAGAUAUGAAAAGAGAGCGUGGAAGUACGCGCCAAUUUCCUCCAACACUUCAAACAUUUUGGGCAUUCUCUGAAGCACACUCUCUUACUUCGAGGGAACACUCCUCCUCCUCCUCGUAAAUCAAUUUCUUCCUCUCUUGCUUUCUCCAUCUUAUUUUUCUGAUUUUAAGUUAAAAGAAAAAUAAAAUGUCAAGCACUUUGGACAUGUCCCUUGAUGACAUCAUAAAAAAUAGCAAAAAAAUCCGGAUUCUGUAUUUCCCGGGGCCGUGGACGAGACCGCCCUUCCGGAACCGGUCCUGCUCGCCGCUUCCCCAUCCAUUGAUAGAUGAAUAAACUAUGUGCAGGGAUUUUAUUCCGAAGUGGGUGAACUGAAAAGGUAUUCAAUCCAUUACGACCGGAGCGGCAGAUCGAAGGGAACGGCAGAAGUUGUCUUUAUACGACCAGCUGAAGCUGUGGUUGCUGUUAAGAGGUACAACAAGGUUCAGCUUGAUGAGAAACCUAUGAAGAUAGAGAUCGCGGGAACAAAUUUUGCACCCCAUCAUGCUAAUGCCGCUUUUGGAAAUUCUAAUGGACUUUCUGGACGUGUACGAAGUAGGGGUGGUGCAUUGGUACAACUGCGUGGCGGCGGCAGCGGUGGCCGUGGACUUGGAAGGGGCCGUGGACGUGGAAGGGGGUGUGGUGAAAAGGUAUCCGCUGAAGAUCUUGAUGCAGAUUUAGAGAAGUAUCAUUCAGAAUCAAUGCAGAUAAAUUGAAGUCAUUUCUGGUGUCUUGGUGGUAGGCCCUACAUCUUUCAUGCAGCAAUGGAACUAUUUUCCAUGUCUCGGCCAAGUUGUAUUAGUGAUUUUGUAAAUAUUUGUUAGAGAAAACUAUUAGAAUCUUUAUUGUGGAGGUUUGGGCUUUUAUUGUGUAUUGUUCUUUGAUGUGGGUUGAUGGGGAGCUAUCUCUAUGUAAUGCACUCUUGCUUUUUGUUUGGUUAGCUUCGUGAUUUUAUAGGUUGGGGUGGGAAGAACUAUUUUCUUUGACAGAAAACUGUCUACAAAGGGCAGAGAAUCAAACUUUGUCAUGAGCUUCGCCGUGCUGUGAUGUCUGUUGGUUCCCUCUUCAUCGUAAAAUCAGGGAGAUAUGGAGGUUCUCGAAUAAGCUGCAUCUAUUCUGUCCGGUGAAAUAUCAGUUCCCUGAUUGUUUCAUGACUGCUGAUGCAGCUCAUAAUAGUGACUGCAACUUGCAUCUCUGCUUCAUUCAACCCGAUGAUGUUGAAAACGCAGGUGGAUAUAGAGCUUGGAAUAUGGUUUGCAGCUGGAAUGACUCUGGGUGCUGGUUAAACUACACUGACGAGUGAGAGCUUUGCACUGCCUUCUGCAUUCUUCGAAGCUCCUGCUUUUGCGUCGGAAUGCAGCUGGUUAACCCUUGAUAGUCAUUAUGCUUGCGCAAAUCGUCUUGGGCACGAGAGGGUAAAUCUAACACCUCUUGAAUUGCAAUUUGAAAGCUGCAAUUGCAUCCAGACCACUGCUCUUGCUAAGUUCACUAUAUUCGUAACCAAAAAUUGUAUGUCAUUUCGUGGAGUUAGUUUGGUGCUGUUGAGAAUAUAGCAGUAUUCCAAUUUUUUGGAAAGAAAAACAAUUUUUUUUUUAAAAAACUUUAUUUGAAGACAAUAUUUCUCAUAUUUUCUAAAUUCA